GGGCCGUGCGUCCGAUUAGCUGGUUGGUGGGGUAACGGCCGUACCAACGGCGACGAUCGGUAGCCGGUCUGGAGAGGAUGAACGGCCCACAUUGGGACUGAGACACGGCCCAGACUCCUACGGGAGGCAGCAGUGGGGAAUCUUCCGCAAUGGGCGCAAGCCUGACGGAGCAACGCCGCGUGAGUGAGGAAGUUCCUUCGGAACGUAAAGCUUCUGUUGGUUCCUGACGAACCUCCCUUCUAUGAACAACGGAGGGGACUGACGGUAGGGAACGAGGAAGCCACGGCUAACUACGUGCC
rnacentral:rRNA from 1 species